rnacentral:rRNA from 1 species
AAUAUUGCGCAAUGGAGGGAACUCUGACGCAGCGACGCCGCGUGAGCGAUGAAGGCCUUCGGGUCGUAAAGCUCUGUUGUCAGGGAAGAACAAGUACCGGAGUAACUGCCGGUACCUUGACGGUACCUGACCAGAAAGCCACGGCUAACUACGUGCCAGCAGCCGCGGUAAUACGUAGGUGGCAAGCGUUGUCCGGAAUUAUUGGGCGUAAAGCGCGCGCAGGCGGUCCUUUAAGUCUGAUGUGAAAGCCCCCGGCUUAACCGGGGAGGGUCAUUGGAAACUGGGGGACUUGGGUGCAGAAGAGAAGAGCGGAAUUCCACGUGUAGCGGUGAAAUGCGUAGAGAUGUGGAGGAACACCAGUGGCGAAGGCGGCUCUUUGGUCUGUAACUGACGCUGAGGCGCGAAAGCGUGGGGAGCAAACA